GACGAACGCUGGCGGCGUGCUUAACACAUGCAAGUCGAACGAUGAACCCGGAGCUUGCUCCGGUGGAUUAGUGGCGAACGGGUGAGUAACACGUGAGUAACCUGCCCUUGACUCUGGGAUAACUGCGGGAAACUGUAGCUAAUACCGGAUACGACCCUCGGCGGCAUCGCCAGGGGGUGGAAAGAAUUUCGGUCAAGGAUGAGCUCGCGGCCUAUCAGCUAGUUGGCGAGGUAAUGGCUCGCCAAGGCGACGACGGGUAGCCGGCCUGAGAGGGUGACCGGCCACACUGGAACUGAGACACGGUCCAGACUCCUACGGGAGGCAGCAGUGGGGAAUAUUGCACAAUGGGCGAAAGCCUGAUGCAGCAACGCCGCGUGAGGGAUGAAGGCCUUCGGGUUGUAAACCUCUUUUAGCAGGGAAGAAGCGAAAGUGACGGUACCUGCAGAAAAAGCACCGGCUAACUACGUGCCAGCAGCCGCGGUAA
rnacentral:rRNA from 1 species